UCUGAGGAAUUCUAAAGUAUACAGUGGAC
rnacentral:piRNA from 1 species